UUCCGUAGGUGAACCUGCGGAGGGAUCAUUACAGAGUUGCAAAACUCCCAAACCAUCGUGAACGUUACCUACAUCGUUGCUUCGGCGGGUGGCGGGCUUCGGCCCUGCCCUCGGCCCCUCUCGGGGGCCCGCCGGAGGUACACCAAACUCUUGAAUUUACAUGGCCUCUCUGAGUCUUCUGUACUGAAUAAGUCAAAACUUUCAACAACGGAUCUCUUGGUUCUGGCAUCGAUGAAGAACGCAGCGAAAUGCGAUAAGUAAUGUGAAUUGCAGAAUUCAGUGAAUCAUCGAAUCUUUGAACGCACAUUGCGCCCGCCAGUAUUCUGGCGGGCAUGCCUGUCCGAGCGUCAUUUCAACCAUCAAGCCCCCGGCUUGUGUUGGGGACCUGCGGCACACCCGCAGGCCCUGAAAACCAGUGGCGGGCUCGCUGUCCACACCGAGCGUAGUAGCAUAUCUUUGUCUCGCUCAGGGCGUGCGGCGGGUUCCGGCCGUGAAACCCACCUUCUCGAAGGUACCCAAAGGUGACCUCGGAUCAGGUAGAAGCCCAUCGA
rnacentral:rRNA from 1 species